rnacentral:rRNA from 1 species
AGAGUUUGAUCCUGGCUCAGGAUGAACGCUAGCUACAGGCUUAACACAUGCAAGUCGAGGGGAAACGACAUCGAAAGCUUGCUUUUGAUGGGCGUCGACCGGCGCACGGGUGAGUAACGCGUAUCCAACCUGCCCAUCACUUGGGGAUAACCUUGCGAAAGUAAGACUAAUACCCAAUGACGUCUCUAGAAGACAUCUGAAAGAGAUUAAAGAUUUAUCGGUGAUGGAUGGGGAUGCGUCUGAUUAGCUUGUUGGCGGGGUAACGGCCGACCAAGGCGACGAUCAGUAGGGGUUCGUGAGAGGAAGGUCCCCCACCAUUGGAACUGAGACACGGUCCAAACGUCCUACGGGAGGCA